rnacentral:rRNA from 1 species
AACGAACGCUGGCGGCAGGCCUAACACAUGCAAGUCGAACGCCCUAGCAAUAGGGAGUGGCAGACGGGUGAGUAACACGUGGGAACGUGCAAUUCGGUUCGGAAUAACUCAGGGAAACUUGAGCUAAUACCGGAUACGUGCGAGAGCAGAAAGAUUUAUCGCCGAAGGAACGGCCCGCGUCCGAUUAGCUAGUUGGUGAGGUAAUGGCUCACCAAGGCGACGAUCGGUAGCUGGUCUGAGAGGAUGACCAGCCACACUGGGACUGAGACACGGCCCAGACUCCUACGGGAGGCAGCAGUGGGGAAUAUUGGACAAUGAGCGCAAGCCUGAUCCAGCCAUGCCGCGUGAGUGAUGAAGGCCCUAGGGUUGUAAAGCUCUUUCGCCAGGGACGAUAAUGACGGUACCUGGAUAAGAAGCCCCGGCUAACUUCGUGCCAGCCGCCGCCUAA